AGGUGCGAACCGGCCCGACGCACGAGACCCUGCGUCCUCCGUCCUGCGCCGCAAUUCGCCCGGGCGACUUCGCGCGACUCCUUUCGCCUCCUCCUCCUCCUCCUCUGGAUUGCGGCGCGACGGCGGCCGUGAGCGAGCGGUGCUCCUACUCCUCCUCCACGCCCUCGCGCCCAGAUCCGCUCCCCAAUGGCGCGGAACCCGGCCUCCAGCGUCUACGUAGGCAACUUGGAUGAGAAGGUGCCUGAAAGAGUCUUGUAUGAGAUUCUUAUUCAGGCUGGUCAUGUAGUAGACCUGCACAUACCAUGUGACAAAGAAACUGGGCGUCCCAAAGGUUUUGCUUUUGCUGAGUAUGAGACAGACGCAAUUGCUCAGUAUGCUGUUAGACUUUUUUCAGGACUUGUUAGGCUUAAUGGUAAAACACUUAAAUUUGCGCUUUCUGGACAAGACAAGCCCUCAUCAAAUGGCAAUAAUCCAGUAAUGCCUAAACUCAACCCUAUACCAUUACCAAAGCAGCCUCAGUUUGUGCAUUCUAGUGAUACGCUUGUGUCGCAUAAACCAGCAUAUCCGGUGGUAAAUGGUGGGAUUCCACAUAAUGUUUUUUCACAAGGCUAUCAUCCUUACAAUGUUCACCCUCAAGCAUUACCAACUCGACCCGUGCAUGAGCACCGAGAGUUUGUCCAUGGUACGUAUGGUUACAACAGUCAUGUAUAUGGUUCUGUUCUGAAUGCUAGCUAUGGAGGUUAUGUUGUGAAUGCUGUUGGUCAUCGAGCUGUGAGGCAACCAAUCAUUUACCCAUCCUACUAGGUUGUAGGCACCAAAUUGCGGGAUCUGGUAUUCAGAGUAGGCAGGUUAAUCGUAGCUUCUUGGUCCCUCAAAUUCUCAGUAGCAUCUUUGUUGUACCCUUGUACUUCAAUUCCCUGCAUGUAAAUAGGGCUGGUAUAUCCAUUUUAUCAACGGUAAGUUGGCAACGGAAAGCUCUGCCCACUACAUUGUACACCUUUGUACUUGUCUAGCCUGGUACAUCUUUUCUCUUUCUUGGAAUUGGAAAAUAAAGAAAUGCAACAUCGUGGGCUGUUUUGCACCCCCACUGACUCGGAUUAUUUGAGCUAUUCCUAAAGCUCCUUUUCAUGUACUCGAAUGAUCAUUGCUGUUACUUACACAGAAGAUGUUGAUGUCUCAGCUCCGGGGCCUCA
rnacentral:rRNA from 1 species